GUGCUAGGACCACACACACCUGAUACUUGGCAGUUUACAUACCCACACUUAACUAUCGUCUGGGUCUACAUUCUUCUGUGUAGUAACCGUCACUACAUGCUUUGGUUUGUCAAGGUGUCCAUAUUCACACUCACCUGUACCAAGGCUAUACAGAACAGAAGUGACAACACAAUUCACUAGUAGCUCCUAAAUCGCUCCACUAACUGAUGCUGUUCAAAUAGCAAUACCAAUGUAUACAAGUAGUACCAAUACAGUAGUACGGUGAUUCUAUCACGUUCUAGAGAACGUAGAAUUCUAUAGAAUCCUAAAUAACAGUUCUCUUUGACCUCUAGUGUUCUGAUAUUGUGUGAAUGAACAUUCAUGUCCACCAUGAUAUUUCAUUAACGGUAUUCAACCAGCGGGGAGAGAGAGAGAAACAUAUACAUUAUAUCGAGAGAUAGGAGCAACAGACAGAGAGAGAGAAACAUAUACAUUAUAUCGAGAGAUAGGAGCAGUACAGAGAGAGAGAGAGACAGACAGAGAGAGAAAAACAUAUACAUUAUAUCGAGAGAUAGGAGCAGUACGGAGAGAGAGAGAGAGAGAGAGAGAGAGAGAGAGACAGACAGACAGACAGACAGACAGACAGACAGACAGACAGACAGACAGACAAGCAGCUGUCCCAGGGGCACCUUCCUUUAGGGCUCAUCUCUACAAAGGGCCAGGGGAUGGCCUGUCUCCCCAUCCAUCCCCCUGAUAAUAGCACACAUCUGGGUGGACAAGAUAGGGCCCCCAAGACCCCCACACACAGAAAGAGAUGAAGGUAGAUGGGUAGCUAGCACAUUUGCGUGCUUGAGUCCUGCUGCGCAUUUGUUCCCGUUCCAUCCCUCAUUACAUCAGCACAUUUAAAGACCUCGAUCAGUCGUCCAAUGAUCACACACACACACACCUUAUUAAAACAGCCCUGCUAGGCAGGAGGAGGGACCAUCACAAAAACCAGUCAAGUCUCUCACAAUUAAAAAUCUGAGAACACAAUACAAAAUACUUUUGGGGGGGGGUUUCAAACAAAAACCUUACCCUCCCCAUCUUAACACACACACACACACACACACACACACAC
ensembl:lncRNA